rnacentral:rRNA from 1 species
GGAUUAGAUACCCUGGUAGUCCACGCCGUAAACGAUGGGCACUAGGUGUCGGCGGUUCUUAAUCCGUCGGUGCCGGCGCUAACGCAGUAAGUGCCCCGCCUGGGGAGUACGGUCGCAAGGCUGAAACUCAAACGAAUUGACGGGGGCCCGCACAAGCGGUGGAGCAUGUGGUUUAAUUCGACGCAACGCGAAGAACCUUACCUAGGUUUGACAUGCAUCGGACAGCUGGUGAAAGUCAGUCUCCCUUCGGGGUCGAUGCACAGGUGCUGCAUGGCUGUCGUCAGCUCGUGCUG